rnacentral:tRNA from 1 species
GCCUCCGUAGCUCAAUUGGUAGAGCAGCUGACUCUUAAUCAGCGGGUCGUAGGUUCAAGUCCUACCGGGGGUACCA